GCCGGUCUAGUAUAGUGGUUAGUACACUUCGUUGUGGCCGAAGAAACCCAGGUUCGAUUCCUGGGACCGGCA
rfam:Pichia sorbitophila strain CBS 7064 chromosome L complete sequence.